rnacentral:lncRNA from 1 species
UUGAGGUUUGCGUAUGUACAUAGUUUACUCUCGUAAUCUCGUUGCUCUGUUUUACAUUAACGGUGAGAUUGCGAUCUCUGCUGUCCAAGCUCACUUCAAUCCUGAAUUACGUUUACUCUUGGCCUGGAAUAUAUACUCUUGUUCCUAUAUCUCAUUACAGUCUUCAGCGCUCUAUACAGGUCUCGCGGGAUUUCCUACAGCCUCCAUCUCCAGUUAUAGUUUAUAUUGUCUAAAGGAUGUAGUUCCUGUGUGUUUUUCGUGUUUUUCCAGCAGUACUCCACUCCAACAGAUCGUUCAUUAUGGUGUGAUUUCACAUUAGUUUGACAACCGCGUCAAACUAAUGUGAAAUCACAUCAAGGUUUCCUGCGAGAUGAAUGUACCUCUAAUGCCACAUAUUUGCCAACCUUUAAGAAAAAGUCUGAAGCGCGAUCGUGUGGGUAAGGUGUUUGGCCUGGUUGCUGGCGCUUUUAGGUGAUCUUGCGCAUCCACACACUUGUCAAAUAUCAAAAAACCGCCUUAACACAAACGUUUGAAUAAGGGGUUUGGCUCGGUAGUUUAGAGUUUCCCAGGAGGAAAGAAUGCUUCAAAA